rnacentral:rRNA from 1 species
GCGGAGGGAUCAUUACCGAGUUUACAACUCCCAAACCCAAUGUGAACGUUACCAAACUGUUGCCUCGGCGGGAUCUCUGCCCCGGGUGCGUCGCAGCCCCGGACCAAGGCGCCCGCCGGAGGACCAACCAAAAACUCUUUUGUAUACCCCCUCGCGGGUUUUUUAUAUCUGAGCCAUCUCGGCGCCUCUCGUAGGCGUUUCGAAAAUGAAUCAAAACUUUCAACAACGGAUCUCUUGGUUCUGGCAUCGAUGAAGAACGCAGCGAAAUGCGAUAAGUAAUGUGAAUUGCAGAAUUCAGUGAAUCAUCGAAUCUUUGAACGCACAUUGCGCCCGCCAGUAUUCUGGCGGGCAUGCCUGUCCGAGCGUCAUUUCAACCCUCGAACCCCUCCGGGGGGUCGGCGUUGGGGAUCGGCCCUUUACGGGGCCGGCCCCGAAAUACAGUGGCGGUCUCGCCGCAGCCUCUCCUGCGCAGUAGUUUGCACACUCGCAUCGGGAGCGCGGCGCGUCCAUUGCCGUAAAACACCCAACUUUCUGAAAUGUUGACCUCGGAUCAGG